rnacentral:rRNA from 1 species
GACGAACGCUGGCGGCGUGCCUAAUACAUGCCAGUCGAACGCUGAAGAGAGGAGCUUGCUCUUCUUGGAUGAGUUGCGAACGGGUGAGUAACGCGUAGGUAACCUGCCUUGUAGCGGGGGAUAACUAUUGGAAACGAUAGCUAAUACCGCAUAACAAUGGAUGACACAUGUCAUUUAUUUGAAAGGGGCAAUUGCUCCACUACAAGAUGGACCUGCGUUGUAUUAGCUAGUAGGUGAGGUAAUGGCUCACCUAGGCGACGAUACAUAGCCGACCUGGGAGGGUGAUCGGCCCAACUGGGACUGAGACACGGCCCAGACUCCUACGGGAGGCAGCAGGAGGGAAUCUUCGGCAAUGGGGGCAACCCUGACCGAGCAACGCCGCGUGAGUGAAGAAGGUUUUCGGAUCGUAAAGCUCUGUUGUAAGUCAAGAACGGGUGUGAGAGUGGAAAGUUCACACUGUGACGGUAGCUUACCAGAAAGGGACGGCUAACUACGUG